UACGUAGGGUGCAAGCGUUAUCCGGAAUUACUGGGCGUAAAGGAUGCGUAGGCGGACAUUUAAGUCAGAUGUGAAAUACCCGAGCUUAACUUGGGUGCUGCAUUUGAAACUGGGUGUCUAGAGUGCAGGAGAGGUAAGUGGAAUUCCUAGUGUAGCGGUGAAAUGCGUAGAGAUUAGGAAGAACACCAGUGGCGAAGGCGACUUACUGGACUGUAACUGACGCUGAGGCAUGAAAGCGUGGGGAGCAAACAGG
rnacentral:rRNA from 1 species